UUACUUGUAAAAAAAAAAACUUCAAAAAAACUUUCAAAAACUCUCUCAAGCCUCUCCACAUCCGGCCAUAUAUCUAGCCAGUCGCCAUCGCGCCGGCCGCCGGCGACGGCGCCGCAAUCCACGGUGGCCGAAAAAUAAAAAAAAUCCAUUUUUUUGCUUUUGACUUCCCGAGCCCAUUAAUCACCGAUUUUCAUCGGAAUCGACGGACUUCAACCGCCUAUGGCGGCGCAAAUGCAAAAAAAAAAAGGUAUGGAGGCCAGCUGUGGAUGUACGGAGAUUGACGUGGCAUGCGAUGGUGGUGUGCGUGGCUGAAGGGCAAGCCCAUGUGCGGCUAGGGUUUUCUCUCUUUGUUUUUUGCUGCUGGAAAUGGCUUAAUUUUUGGGCUGUUAGGCCACUAGGGUUUUUGUUACAUUUGGGCUGUAAUUGGGUAGUGUUUUUGGGCUUAAUAUGUAAAUGGACUAUUAAGAAAUUUUGGACUUUAUAUUUAUUUUA